GUUUAAUAUCCUGCUCCCUUUGGCUCUUUUCCGUCUUCCCGUUCUCUCCGAGCCCAUUCCUGCCGGAAUGUGUUGAGGCUUCGAAACAAAGAGCUGAGAGGUAUUCAGCGAGAGGAGCGAGGGCUGAGAGGUGACAGAGAGCGGAAACGCAGACGAACCGACGUGGCCAACGCAGGUGUCGGAUCAAGAGCCUUUUCCCAGAGGAGCAGGAAUCCAGCUGCUGGGAACCAGCUGCGUCCCGCGAUGGCACACAUCUGGUUUUGUGGUGCGGGGUCGUGGUCCUGCUGGACCUUAGGGAGGUGCUGGUGAGCUCCCUGGCUGCCUGAAGCUCGUCCCUUCUAGAGGCCAGUGGAACCUGGACCCAUCCUUCUAAUCCUCCCUCCCUCCCUCCUCCCAUCUCUCUGCUCAGCUCUUCUCCCUCCACCACCUCCUCCUGCUGCUCCUCUUUUCCCAGGCUCUAUGGGUGCAGUGCCACGUCGCUUAUUAGUCUGUGAGAGAGAGAGAGCUGGAGGAAGACCCAGACGUCCACGUUGCACUGUGAUAAGAAAAAAAUCCUGACCCAUAUUUUUCCAUUUUAAACUUAAAUGCUGUCAGUUGUUUUGCAGAAUAGAAGCCAUAUAGAAACCAUUUCUCUUCACUGUGAAACCCCCCCCCCCCCCCCCCCAAACCCUUAUGACUCUCACUCACUCCUGUGUGUGCAGAUGUGUGUUUGAUUUACUUCCCUACUUUCCAGUCUGGUGUGAGGUUUGAACUAUGCAAAUAUAAGGUAAACUUCCCGAAGUAUUUAAUUCAUUACUAUUCCCACAAUUUCUUUUUUUGGCACAGCAAAAAAAGCCAAACUCAUGGUAUAUAUAUUUUCUUUUACCAGUGUUAGUCCCCAUUUAACUGGUUUUCCUGUACUCUGGUCCCCUCUAGUGGUCAUUUAGCGCAGCGCACUCAGUUCUCGUCAAGUCAGUUUAACUUUUUGGAAGUCUAAAACCACUUCAGCAAUAGGAAUAAACAUAAAUAUUAAUGCCGUGUUGACCAAUUUCAAUAAAAACACAUUUAG
rnacentral:lncRNA from 1 species